GGAAGAACUGCAAGGACCCGGAGGGAUUCAAAGUAGAGGCUACUUUUUCUUCAGGCCACGCAAUGGAAGGAGAUCAGUGGAUUUUCGCUAAGGAGGAUUUUAGAUUCCUGAUCUAGAACUAAUGCUGCAGGAAGGCUGAGUCCAUGGACA